AUGUCCAGCUGUGGACAGGUAGUAGCCUACACACAUGUCCAGCUGUGGACAGGUAGGAGCCUACACACAUCUGUGGACAGGUAGGAGCCUACACACAUGUCCAGCUGUGGACAGGUAGGAGCCUACACACAUGUCCAGCUGUGGACAGGUAGGAGCCUACACACAUGUCCAGCUGUGGACAGGUAGGAGCCUACACACAUCUGUGGACAGGUAGGAGCCUACACACAUGUCCAGCUGUGGACAGGUAGGAGCCUACACACACGUCCAACUGUGGACAGGUAGGAGCCUACACACAUGUCCUACACACAUGUCCAGCUGUGGACAGGUAGGAACUACACACAUGUCCAGCUGUGGACAGGUAGUAGCCUACACACAUGUCCAGCUGUGGACAGGUAGGAGCCUACACACAUGUCCAGCUGUGGACAGGUAGGAGCAUACACACAUGUCCAGGUGUGGACAGAUAGGAGCCUACACACAUCUGUGGACAGGUAGGAGCCUACACACAUGUCCAGCUGUGGACAGGUAGGAGCCUACACACAUGUCCUACACACAUGUCCAACUGUGGACAGGUAGGAGCCUACACACAUGUCCUACACACAUGUCCAGCUGUGGACAGGUAGGAGCCUACACACACGUCCAACUGUGGACAGGUAGGAGCCUACACACAUGUCCAGCUGUGGACAGGUAGGAGCCUACACACACGUCCAGCUGUGGACAGGUAGGAGCCUACACACACGUCCAGCUGUGGACAGGUAGGAGCCUACACACGUCCAGCUGUGGACAGGUAGGAGCCUACACACAUGUCCAGCUGUACACAUGUGGACAGGUUGGAGCCUACAUGCAGUCAUAAGUAGCAGCCAAUGGGAGACAGGGUAGCAAAUGCACUAUUCAUCAGUAUGGAACUGAACUAAAAGAUGUUUCUGAGAUCCAGUCCCACACAUUAGAGGCCGCACCUGUCUCUCAUAUACAUGUUACAUAAACAUUUCUCUCUGAAAACAAAUGUAACAUUAGCUUCAUAAAGGUGAUAUUUGCCUGGAUAAUACAUGUCAUUACAGCUACUAAUGCUGGACAAUGAAUCCUAUUGUAUUAAAGCCUCUGAACAGGGGAUUUCACUUCUUCUGGCUGAUUAGACUCUCUAAGCUGAAGUCCAGUCCACACUCUUCUAACUGCUGGGAUUGUAAUAAAUUACACGAUGAGGAAGGAAAUAUCACGCAGCAACAUCUGUGAUAGUUCCAUUUAUCAUUCUCCAGGUAAAAGUGAUGUGUUAUCAUUGUGUUGUCC